rnacentral:rRNA from 1 species
UUCGAUGCAACGCGAAGAACCUUACCUACUCUUGACAUCCAGAGAAUUCGCUAGAGAUAGCUUAGUGCCUUCGGGAACUCUGAGACAGGUGCUGCAUGGCUGUCGUCAGCUCGUGUUGUGAAAUGUUGGGUUAAGUCCCGCAACGAGCGCAACCCUUAUCCUUAUUUGCCAGCACGUAAUGGUGGGAACUUUAGGGAGACUGCCGGUGAUAAACCGGAGGAAGGUGGGGACGACGUCAAGUCAUCAUGGCCCUUACGAGUAGGGCUACACACGUGCUACAAUGGUCGGUACAGAGGGUUGCGAAGCCGCGAGGUGGAGCUAAUCUCACAAAGCCGGUCGUAGUCCGGAUUGGAGUCUGCAACUCGACUCCAUGAAGUCGGAAUCGCUAGUAAUCGUAGAUCAGAAUG